AGUUUAAUAGUCAAUUAUGAUUUUAAAUUGCAAAUUUAAAGGUAAACAAAAGUUUUUAGACUU
rnacentral:tRNA from 1 species